GAUGAACGCUAGCGGCAGGCUUAACACAUGCAAGUCGAGGGGUAUAGGUUUUCGGACCUAGAGACCGGCGCACGGGUGCGUAACGCGUAUGCAAUCUACCUUUCACAGAGGGAUAGCCCAGAGAAAUUUGGAUUAAUACCUCAUAGUAUAGCAGUUUCGAAUGAAACCACUAUUAAAGUUCCAACGGUGAAAGAUGAGCAUGCGUCCCAUUAGCUAGAUGGUAAGGUAACGGCUUACCAUGGCUACGAUGGGUAGGGGUUCUGAGAGGGAGAGCCCCCACACUGGUACUGAGACACGGACCAGACUCCUACGGGAGGCAGCAGUGAGGAAUAUUGGUCAAUGGACGCAAGUCUGAACCAGCCAUGCCGCGUGCAGGAUGACGGUCCUAUGGAUUGUAAACUGCUUUUGUACGAGAAGAAACAACAUUACGUGUAAUGUCUUGACGGUAUCGUAAGAAUAAGGAUCGGCUAACUCCGUGCCAGCAGCCGCAGUAAGAC
rnacentral:rRNA from 1 species